CUGUGAAGAAUCUGAGAGCUCAGAAUGAAAAGGAGAAGAAAAGGAAAAGACAAGAAUGGAAACUACCCAUGAGAAAACCAAGUGGAAUUAAAAUCCCCAAACUAAUGUCUCGUAGAGAUCACAGAAGACAGAAGAGACAUCACCUCCUGGCUUCCUGCAUUCACCUUCACCUAGAUCCCAAAGUAGCUUUUGGAGAAGUUGGUGACCCAGAAAUACUGAUGGGAGAAGAUAAUGCACCGAGGAAGCCCUGCUCUUUUGAGCCAAAGAACUGAGAAGGGGGCAGCCUAG